rnacentral:rRNA from 1 species
GAUGAACGCUGACAGAAUGCUUAACACAUCAGCAACUGAUUGGUGGCGGACGGGUGAGUAACGAGUAUAGAACUUGCCUCACGGGUAGGGGCAACAUUUGGAAAAGAAUGCUAAUACUUAAUCCAGUGAGAGAUCUUCGCGUCCCAUUAGCUAGUUGGAGAGGUAACGGCUCACCAAGGCGAUGAUGGGUAGCCGGCCUGAGAGGGUGAUCGGCUACAAGGGGCCUGGGACACCGCCAGUACGCAAACGGGAGGAAGGAGUGGGGAACAUUUGAAAAUGGGCCAAAGUCUGAACAAGCAAUUCGGGUUGCACGAUGAAGUUUUCGGAAUGUAAAGGGUUUUCAGUUUAGAAGCGUUACCAACAGAAGAAGUGACGGCUAACUCCGUGCCAGCAGCCGCGGUAAUUC